AGGCUUCAUACAUGCAAGUCGCACGGUUAAAGCUCCUUCGGGAGUGUAUAAAGUGGCGAACGGGUGAGUAACAGGUGGAUAACCUACCUCUCGGCGGGGGACAACAGUUGGAAACGACUGCUAAUACCGCAUACGAUUAUCGGGUCACAGGACCUGAUAAGGAAAGGCGCCUCAAAGCGCCGCCGAGAGAUGGAUCCGCCCCGCAUUAGCUAGUUGGUGAGAUAAUAGCUCACCAAGGCUACGAUGCGUAGCCGGACUGAGAGGUUGGCCGGCCACACUGGGACUGAGACACGGCCCAGACACCUACGGGUGGCAGCAGUAGGGAAUAUUGGACAAUGGGCGAAAGCCUGAUCCAGCUAUGCCGCGUGGAUGACGAAGGCCUUCGGGUCGUAAAGUCCUUUUAUAAGGGAAGAACAUCCCGGGUAGGAAAUGCCCCGGGCCUGACGGUACCUUAUGAAUAAGCAACGGCUAACUACGUGCCAGCAGCCGCGGUAAUACGUAGGUUGCAAGCGUUGUUUGGAAUUACUGGGCGUAAAGGGAGCGCAGGCGGUUUGGUCAGUCUGAAGUGAAAGUCCGGGGCUCAACCCCGGAACUGCUUUGGAUACUGCCAAACUUGAGUACGUGAGAGGUGGGCGGAAUUCCAGGUGUAGCGGUGAAAUGCGUAGAUAUCUGGAGGAACAUCGAUGGCGAAAGCAGCCCACUGGCACGAAACUGACGCUGAGGCUCGAAAGCGUGGGGAGCGAACGGGAUUAGAUACCCCGGUAGUCCACGCCGUAAACGUUGUGCACUAGGUGUGGGGGGUAUCGACCCCUCCCGUGCCGCAGCUAACGCAUUAAGUGCACCGCCU
rnacentral:rRNA from 1 species